GUCCCAGUUCGGAUUGUAGUCUGCAACCCGACUACAUGAAGCUGGAAUCGCUAGUAAUCGCGAAUCAGCAUGUCGCGGUGAAUACGUUCCCGGGUCUUGUACACACCGCCCGUCACACCAUGGGAGUUGGUAACGCCCGAAGUCAGUGACCUAACCGCAAGGGGAGGAGCUGCCGAAGGUGGGGCCAGUAACUGGGGUGAAGUCGUAACAAGGUAGC
rnacentral:rRNA from 1 species